GAUGAACGCUGGCGGCGUGCCUAAUGCAUGCAAGUCGCACGGGCAUCCUAGGGGAGGUCUGUGGUGAACGGCUGAGCAUACCGUACGAAAAUACUCCGGUGUGGGGGACAACACGGCGAAAGCAGUGCUAAUACCGCAUACGCACACAGGAGGAAAGCGUGAGCAAGCACGCGCACCGGAAUGAGCGUGCGGCGCAUCAGGUAGUUGGUGUGGUCAAGGCGCACCAAGAACGUGACGGGUAACCGGGCUGAGAGGACGAGCAGCCAAACCGGACCUGAGACACGACCCAGGCUCCUACGGGAGGCAGCGGCAGGGAGUUGUAGGCAAUGGGCGCGAGCCAGACCGAGCUACGGCGCGUACAAGAUGAUUACCUUCGGAUUAUAAACCGCUUUUAAGGGAGGAGAGUCAGACGGUACCCCAUGAAUCAGCCCCGGCUAACUCUGUG
rnacentral:rRNA from 1 species